rnacentral:rRNA from 1 species
AUUGAACGCUGGCGGCAUGCUUUACACAUGCAAGUCGAACGGCAGCGCGGGCUUCGGCCUGGCGGCGAGUGGCGAACGGGUGAGUAAUACAUCGGAACGUGCCCAGUAGUGGGGGAUAGCUCGGCGAAAGCCGGAUUAAUACCGCAUACGACCUGAGGGUGAAAGCGGGGGAUCUUCGGACCUCGCGCUAUUGGAGCGGCCGAUGGCAGAUUAGCUAGUUGGUGGGGUAAAGGCCUACCAAGGCGACGAUCUGUAGCUGGUCUGAGAGGACGACCAGCCACACUGGGACUGAGACACGGCCCAGACUCCUACGGGAGGCAGCAGUGGGGAAUUUUGGACAAUGGGCGAAAGCCUGAUCCAGCAAUGCCGCGUGUGUGAUGAAGGCCUUCGGGUUGUAAAGCACUUUUGGCGGGAACGAAAAGGACUGUGCAAAUACCACGGUUCGAUGACGGUACCCGCAGAAUAAGCACCGGCUAACUACGU